ACGUAGGGUGCGAGCGUUAAUCGGAAUUACUGGGCGUAAAGCGUGCGCGGGCGGUUGUGCAAGACAGGUGUGAAAUCCCCGGGCUUAACCUGGGAACUGCACUUGUGACUGCAAGGCUUGAGUGCGGCAGAGGAGACUGGAAUUCCCGGUGUAGCAGUGAAAUGCGUAGAUAUCGGGAGGAAUACCUAUGGCGAAAGCAGGCUACUGGACCGUCUCUGACUCUGAUCUGCGAAAGCUAGGGGAGCAAACAGGA
rnacentral:rRNA from 1 species